CACAGGGAGGUAGUGACAGUAAAUAACAAUGCAGGGCCCUUCGGGUCUGCAAUUGGAAUGAGUACAAUUUAAACCCCUUAACGAGGAACAAUUGGAGGCAAGUCUGGUGCCAGCAGCCGCGGUAAUUCCAGCUCCAAUAGCGUAUAUUAAAGUUGUUGCAGUUAAAACGCUCGUAGUCGAAUUUUAGACAAGGACGACCGGUCUACCGUAUGGUAUGACUGGAUGUUCCGCGUCUCUCCUUUGGGGAACAGAUACGAGAGUAUCCGGGAACCAAGUAUUACUGUGAAGAAAUUAGAGUGUUUAAAGCAGGCGUUUGCUUGAAUACGUUAGCAUGGAAUAAUAAGAUAGGACUUUGGUUCUAUUUUGUUGGUUUGAGGACCAAGGUAAUGAUUAAUAGGGACAGUUGGGGCAUUAGUAUUCAGUAGUCAGAGGUGAAAUUCUUGGAUUUACUGAAGACUAACUAAUGCGAAAGCAUUUGCCAAGGAUGUUUUCAUUGAUCAAGAACGAAAGUUAGGGAUCGAAGACGAUUAGAUACCGUCGUAGUCUUAACCAUAAACUAUGCCGACUAGGGAUCGGUGGCACUCUGUUUAGACGCAUCGGCACCUUAUGAGAAAUCAAAGUUUUUGGUUCUGGGGGAGUAUGGUCGCAAGGCUGAAACUUAAAGGAAUUGACGGAAGGGCACCACCAGGAGUGAGCCUGCGCUUAAUUUGACUCAACACGGGAAACUCACCAGGUCCGGACAUAGCAAGGAUUGACAGAUUGAGAGCUCUUUCAUGAUUCUAUGGGUGGUGGUGCAUGGCGUUCUUAGUUGGUGAGUGAUUUGUCUGGUUAAUUCCGUUAACGAACGAGACCUUAACCUGCUAAAUAGUAUCGCAAACCGGCGUUUGUAGAUGCUUCUUAGAGGGACUGACCACGUUUAGUGGUAGGAAGUUUGAGGCAAUAACAGGUCUGUGAUGCCCUUAGAUGUCUGGGCCGCACGCGCGCUACACUGACAAAGUCAGCGAGUAUAUAACCUUGGCCGGAAGGUCCGGCAAUCUUGUGAAACUUUGUCGUGCUGGGAUAGACCAUUGCAAUUAUUGGUCUUCAACGAGGAAUUCCUAGUAAGCGCAAGUCAUUAGCUUGCGUUGAUUACGUCCUGCCCUUUGUACACACCGCCCAUCGCUACUACGAUU
rnacentral:rRNA from 1 species